rnacentral:tRNA from 1 species
GCAGUGGUGGUUCAGUAGUAGACGUCUCGCCUCUUAUGCAAGAGACCCGGGUUCGAUUCCUAGUCAAUGCA